GAGAUGUGCGCAAGUGAAUGAUUGUCGCGGUGGGCGGCCGUCGCCAGUCGCCUGGAGACCUCGACCCAGCAUGGAGCCGUCCGUGUCGCUGGCCGGCCGCCCUCAGGCUCACACAACCCGGAUCACCGGCAGCCGACUGCAAGGGGGCAUGUCGCCCUCGACAUCACCGGCUCAGGCAGAAAGUGGCGACUGCGCGCGGCACGUGAUGACGCUGAUGGUGGUGGCGGGCCUGGUGCUGUCCGGGGUGAUCCAGCAGAGCUCCACCGUGGCUCUGAUGGCGCUCAGCGACCCGCUGUCCUCCGCGGAGUUUGCCGAGUACGUGGCCAACACCAGCUACGUCACUCGCUACUGCGACCCCAUCAACCACACCAAGCUGGUGGAGGUGGUGGUGGUGCUGUCGGAGUCCCCGGCCGCCGUGGAAGGCGUCCCCCUGGACGAGGACGAGUACGACGAGAGUGGCGAGCUGCUGCCCAACGACACCAUCCCGAGCGGAGGCCACGGCCGCCACAUCGCAGCAGAGCCGCACCUCAAGGUGCCGCUGUCCGAGGAGGAGAGCGUGGACUCGGUGCUGCGCGAGGUGUUCCUCUGGGGCAGCUGCAUAGCGCCGCUGCCCGCCAGCCGCCUGGCCGCGCGCGUCGGCCCCAGGCUCACCUUCGGCGUGGCCACGCUCGCCAACGGCCUGCUGCUGGGCUUCGUGCCGCUCGCCUGGUUCACGCCCUACCACACCGUCAUCCGCUUCCUCCAGGGCAUCUUCACGGGAAGUUCGUGGCCUGCUCUACACAUGCUUGCUGCAAGCUGGUUCCCACCUCUCCAGACCAGCAGCUUCGUCUCCUGCUACUCAGCUGUGAGCAUAGGCUACGCCGUGGCUGGCCUGGCAGGCACUCCGCUGGUGCAAGCGGUUGGCAGAGACCCGAUAUGCUACAUGCUGUGUGCGCUGAGCGCCACGUGGUUCCUGGCCUGGCUGUAUCUGGUGCAAGACAAGCCCCACCAGCCUUCCUCGCUCCCAGCUGUCCCCAAGGAGCAGCCAUGCACAGCCCCGAGUGCACAGCAGCAAGCCAAGAGAGAGGUGUCGCAGUUCCCGUGGAGACAUCUCCUGUCCUCGGCGCCGGUGUGGGCAUGCGCAGUGGCGAGCCUCGGCAACCAGUGGGGGCAGAUGACUCUGCAGCUGGCUGUCACCAAGUACCUCAAGCUGGUCUACGGGUUCUCCCUCACCUACGACCGCGUGUUGUCCGUGCUGCCACACAUCGGCCACUUCAUGGCCGCGCUGCUGUUUGGCCGCGUGGUGGACCACGUGAGGGCAGAGGGCAUCGUCUCCACCACCACGGCCCGCAAGCUCUUCGUGUACAUCUCACACUUCUUCCCUGCCGCCUUCUUGUUCGUGGUCGGCUACAGCGCGUGUGAUCCUGCGGCACCAGCUGCGAUGUACACAGCUGCAGUCAUCGUGAGUGGCGCCACGCCCACCGGCUCCUACUGCAGCGCGCUGGACCUGGCUCCCAACUAUGCAGGUACGAUAUUUGGACUGAGCCAGACCCUAGGCGCAGCCGGUUCCCUCAUAGCGAGCUACGUCAUCACAGAAGGUCUCCAUGGAUCUCUUCCUGGAUCGUGGCGACUGGUGUUCGGAGUGGCAUCCGGCGUGCUGGUGGUUACUGCUGUGUUCUUCAUGGCAGUGGGCAGUGGCAGUGUACAGUCAUGGAACAAUCCUCAGGAGCGUAUCCCUGGUCGACCUACGUCACAGGAUCUUCGCACCAGUCGCAGUCACAGCCUGCCCGGUGAGGCCAGCCCGCACGCUGCUGUCAUAGCGCAACUGCUGGUGGACCUGCGGACCGAGCGCCGUGGCAGUCUUCAGUACUGCACGAGCUUGGAGGCCGUCGUGGAAGUUGUUCAGGCCGAGGUGAGUUGUUGCGUCUUGCUUUUUAAUUUUCCUUUCCACAACACAAAUGCAGGAUAACUUAAACACUGGACUGUGAUGAAGAAAUACCCUUUGAAUAAAAAUUUUUGCACUAUUAUAAGUAAACUUUUCACAGUAACUUUGCCCACCACUUUAAUUUUGCAUUGCAUGGUUAACUAGUAUUUUGUUAUGAAUUUCAAUCCGAAAGUAUAGCGUUUGAAACAUUCUUCUGGUGCGAAUGCCCACGAAUAGGCGGAGUGGUAAAGCUAUAAUUGUGCAUGUGUGUGCGCGUGUGUGUGCACAGCUGGAGGAGUGUAGCGGUGGCGCGAGGAAAGAGUCGAGUCCGUGCCUCCUCAAGGAGAACCUGCGCAAGAGAGCGGCGCAGGGCGACAGUCUCCUGUCGCGUGUGUGAGUGCCAACCUAGGAACAUGCAACGUACACAAGGUGACAGUCUCCUGUCGCGUGUGUGAGUGCCAACCUAGGAACAUGCACCGUACACAAGGUGACAGUCUCCUGUCGCAUGUGUGAGUGCCAACCAAGGAACAUGCACCGUACACAAGGUGACAGUCUGCUGUCGCGUGUGUGAGUGCCAACCUAGGAACAUGCACCGUACACAAGGUGACAGUCUGCUGUCGCGUGUGUGAGUGCCAACCUAGGAACAUGCACCGUACACAAGGUGACAGACUGCUGUCGCGUGUGUGAGUGCCAACCUAGGAACAUGCAACGUUCACAAGGUGAUAUUCUGCUGUCACGUGUGUGAGUGCCAACCUAGGAACAUGCAAGGUACACAAGGUGACAGACUGCGGUCGCGUGUGUGAGUGCCAACCUAGGUACAUGCACCGUAUACAAGGUGACAGUCUGCUGUCGCGUGUGUGAGUGCCAACCUAGGAACAUGCACUGUACACAAGGUGACAGUCUGCUGUCACGUGUGUGAGUAACAACCUAGGAACAUGCACCGUACACAAGGUGACAGUCUGCUGUCACGUGUGUGAGUGCCCACCUAGGAACAUGCACUGUACACAAGGUGACAGUCUGCUGACGCGUGUGUGAGUGCCCACCUAGGAACAUGCACUGUACACAAGGUGACAGUCUGCUGUCACGUGAGUGAGUGCCCACCUGUGCCUUUACAUGCCCUGAACACAUUCUGGCUGCUAGAAGCUGCCAUCAUCUACUGCUGUGGAUGCGGAUCUGCAGUUUCUGAAGAGGAUAUUGUCAUAUGUUGCUACUUAUGUUAUUUAUUAGCCAUUGUAGUUUCACCCUACAAGCUUGUCACCUAAACAAAUUUAAUAUUGGAUAUUUAUUCACAAAAAUGUACAUCAUUGUUAUAACUGCAAUAUUUUCGUUAAUAUGCUAUGCUAUGUAAAUAUGUUAUGACGAAAUGUUAUUUAUUAUGAUCUUUCGUACUUUGGUUAUUUUUCACUUGUGUAACUCGUGUAGCAUCAUAAGAAUAAAAUAUACAUUUUUAAAA